AGUGAUCAGGGAUGAUGGGCAUUGUAGUCCCAAAACAUCUGGAGGACCGAGUUUGGCCAUGUCUGCCCUAGAUCAGGCUUCCUCAACCUUGGUCCUCCAGAUGUUUUGAGACUACAAUGCCCAUCAUCCCUGACCGCU